rnacentral:rRNA from 1 species
UACGUAGGGUGCGAGCGUUGUCCGGAAUUAUUGGGCGUAAAGAGCUCGUAGGUGGUUUGUUACGUCUGCUGUGAAAACCUAGGGCUUAACCCUGGGCUUGCAGUGGAUACGGGCAGACUAGAGGCAUGCAGGGGAGAACGGAAUUCCUGGUGUAGCGGUGAAAUGCGCAGAUAUCAGGAGGAACACCGGUGGCGAAGGCGGUUCUCUGGGCAUGUCCUGACGCUGAGGAGCGAAAGUGUGGGGAGCGAACAGG